rnacentral:rRNA from 1 species
AGUGAACGCUGGCGGUAGGCCUAACACAUGCAAGUCGAGCGAGAACACAGUAAGAGCUUGCUGUUACGAAUGGCGCGUGACGGACGGGUGAGGAAGACAUCGGGAUCUGCUUAUUCGCGGGGGAUAACGUAGAGAAACUUACAAUAUUACCGCAUCCGAGCUAUGGUUGAAAGCGAGGAAUAUUCGGCACCCUCGCGGCUGGAUGGUGCGGUAACGGAUUAGCUAGUGGGCGGGGUAAAGGACCACCAAGGCGACGAUCCGUAGCUGGUGUGAGGGGAUGAUCAGCCACACUGGAACUGAGGCACGGCCCAGACGUCUACGGGAGGCGGCAGUGGGGAAUAUUGGACAAUGGGCGCAAGCCUGAUCCAGCCAUACCGCGUGGGUGAAGAAGGCCUUCGGGUUGUAAAGCCCUUUUGUUGGGAAAGAAAAGCAGCAGGUUAAUACCCCGCUGUUCUGACGGUACCCAAAGAAUAAGCACCGGCUAACUUCGUG